rnacentral:rRNA from 1 species
UGAGGAAUAUUGGUCAAUGGGCACGAGCCUGAACCAGCCAAGUCGCGUGAGGGAGGACGGCCCUACGGGUUGUAAACCUCUUUUGCCGGGGAGCAACGGGCGUCACGUGUGGCGCCACUGAGAGUACCCGGAGAAAAAGCAUCGGCUAACUCCGUGCC